GACGAACGCUGGCGGCGCGCUUAACACAUGCAAGUCGAGCGGUAAGGCUCCUUCGGGAGUACACGAGCGGCGAACGGGUGAGUAACACGUGAGUAAUCUGCCCUUCACUUCGGGAUAACCACCGGAAACGGUGGCUAAUACCGAAUACGACCAGUCUUCGCAUGAGGUGCUGGUGGAAAGUCUUUUCGGUGAAGGAUGUGCUCGCGGCCUAUCAGCUUGUUGGUGGGGUAAUGGCCUACCAAGGCUUCGACGGGUAGCCGGCCUGAGAGGGUGACCGGCCACACUGGGACUGAGACACGGCCCAGACUCCUACGGGAGGCAGCAGUGGGGAAUAUUGGACAAUGGGCGAAAGCCUGAUCCAGCAACGCCGCGUGAGGGAUGACGGCCUUCGGGUUGUAAACCUCUUUCAGUACCGACGAAGCGCCCUGUCGGGUGGUGACGGUAGGUACAGAAGAAGGACCGGCCAACUACGUG
rnacentral:rRNA from 1 species